UACGGAGGAUGCAAGCGUUAUCCGGAUUCAUUGGGUUUAAAGGGUGCGUAGGCGGACUAUUAAGUCAGUGGCGAAAGCCUGCAGCUUAACUGCAGAACUGCCAUUGAUACUGAUAGUCUUGAGUUUGGUUAAGGUAGGCGGAAUGUGUAAUGUAGCGGUGAAAUGCUUAGAUAUUACACAGAACACCAAUUGCGUAGGCAGCUUACUGAGCCGACACUGACGCUGAGGCACGAAAGCGUGGGGAUCGAACAGGA
rnacentral:rRNA from 1 species